ensembl:lncRNA
GGGAGGCUAACAGGCACUGCAAGCACCUGGUAGUUAGCAAUAGCAGGAAGCCCUUACUACCUCUAGGCUGAAGGCAGCAGAGUGGGCAAAGUUUACUGGAAUCCAGAGAGAACUGCAGCUAAAGCUGUAGAUGAAAAUGCUCAGACAGGAGAUGCGGACUGUAGUACAGAAAUUCAGUCCCUGACAACCUGUGGCCUAACAGAGAGGGAACUGCCAUCUGUCUCCUUCUCUGCUUUGACCUCGUAGCCUCCUCUCAUCACCUCCCGCUGGAUGCACUGUACUUGAAGCCAAGUGGAAGCCACAGGCAGAGAACCCACUGAGGAAGUACAAAGGUCAGGCUCCCAAGGUGAUGUCAGCAGAAAGAGUGACAAGAAUUCCUCGCAGCUCAGUUAUCAGUGGACAAAUAGAUGAUCUUGGAAACCGGCAAUCUGCAUCUCCUCCUGAAGAUAUCAGCUAGAUAAUGAAGAAAUACAUUCCAGGGUUCAGAGGAACAUUAAUGAUUAGCCUGAUGAAGGACAGUGUGAAGCCCAAGACAUUUGAAAGCUUCUAAACUGGUGAUGACUUCCUGGAACUGGACAACAACAUUCUACUGUCAAUGCAGUAGUGGCCCCAGAAAGAAUGGGAGAACUUGCCCCCAAGAUUAAUUCUUUCUGUGGAGGGGAGUAUGUGUGUGUGGGUCCCUGAGUGGGGGUGGGAUGGAUGGGAGAGAACAAUAGAGGAAAAAAGAAGCAUAGUUUCCACACAGAGUAGAGCCUUUGGAGCUGUUGAAUAGUCCAAUCCAUUUUCAUGUGGAGAUUUUACUAAAGGCAUUUUAUUAUGAUUACCAGUAAAGAUUUAGUCAUAUUAUUUAUCUAUACACACACAAACACAAAAACUAUAUGUAAGAGAUUUGCCUUGCCUUGCCAAACAAAAAAUUUCAUUGCAUUUAAACAUAAGGGAGGUUAAAAAAAUAAAUGAGGCACAUGCUUGCAGAGAUAAACGUUCAUUGCAAACAUGAAAAUGUGGUUUGGACUGAUGUCACGAGUAACAUAAUUAACUACGAUAACAACAAAACCACUAAAGGAUUUGUGAGAACUAAAAGAAAACCCAAAGGCAGCCAAAAGGUGAUGGGCUUUCCGAUUCCGCCAUUCCUCGUGCUCAGUCUCCACGUCAAUCAUUCCCUCCCAGCGGUCACUAGCUUGGCUAUUUGUCUGUUUCCACACUAAUGCAUCACGAAACAUCAUGCCCACUUGCCUGCAAAAGAUACUAUCUCACACAUAUGGGGCCUGCCUUUGAUCUCUGUGGUCGAGCUAGAGGUCAGAGGCCUGCCUUCUCCAGGCCCUUACUUCAAAUGAUUCCUUUCAUUUACUGAGAAACCAAACGUUAGCAGGGAGAAGGCAGGAAAAAUAAAAGCCAUGAUUUAAUAGCAAUUUAUGUGUUUGGCCUAUUUCAGUUUGGGUUUUAUCCUCUUCGGCUCACAUAUAAUUCGUCAUUCGUCCCCGUUGCCCUGUCCUCCCUGCCCCACCAUUUGUUUAUUUUGGGCCCUCAGACAGAUUG